UGAGGAAUUUUGCACAAUGGACGAAAGUCUGAUGCAGCGACGCCGCGUGAUCGAAGACGCCUCUAGGGGUGUAAAGAUCUUUUUACUGGGAAGAUUAUGACUGUACCAGUAGAAUAAGGGCUUGCUAACUACGUGCCAGCAGCAGCGGUAAUACGUAGAGCUCAAGCGUUAUCCGGAUUUAUUGGGCGUAAAGAGUUCGUAGGCGGUUGACCGCAUUUUCUAUUAAAUUUCAGGGCUCAACCCUGAAACCGUAGAAAAGAUGAGUCGACUAGAGAAAAGCAGGGGCAAGCGGAAUUCCCGGUGUAGCAGUGAAAUGCGUUGAUAUCGGGAGGAACACCAAUGGCGAAGGCAGCUUGCUAGGUUUCUCUGACGCUGAGGAACGAAAGCGUGGGGAGCGAAAAGG
rnacentral:rRNA from 1 species